GGAUGUGGAUCAGAGAAGCACAACUUUGAGAAGUCUUACAGAUGGGCAAAGAGUUCCAGAGACGAGCAAAAGCCAUGAUCUUGCGGGCAGCUGUGCUUCGUAAUCAGAUACACGUCAAGUCCCCUCCAAGAGAAGGCAGUCAAGGGGAGCUCACACCUGCAAACAGCCAAACACGAAUGAGCACCAACAUGUGAAGACUCGACCAGAUGCGUCUCCUAGGAAAGUACACGGGGCUACUGCCGCAUCUUAGGCCCCUGUUUAGAAAUCAGUUAUUUCCCUGCUGAAGAGAAAAAAAAUCACAAUCUAAAGACUUUAUUUAAGUUGGCAAGAAGAUAUAUGUUGUCUGUAUUAAAGACAAGCACACCCUGUUGCUCAAAUGAAAAGGAAAAAAAAAAGAUAAAAAGCGAAAUGCGGCAAUUAAGGUGUACUGGCCUGUUGUUCUUUGUAAAGGAUGCACUUUCCUCUGUAUCUUGUGACAAACCUUGAUUACACAUUGAGAAACCUCAUCACAAAACAUGCUUUUAAAAUAAACAUACAUUCAAAAAGAG